rnacentral:rRNA from 1 species
AUUGAACGCUGGCGGCAUGCCUUACACAUGCAAGUCGAACGGCAGCACGGAGCUUGCUCUGGUGGCGAGUGGCGAACGGGUGAGUAAUAUAUCGGAACGUACCCUAGAGUGGGGGAUAACGUAGCGAAAGUUACGCUAAUACCGCAUACGAUCUAAGGAUGAAAGUGGGGGAUCGCAAGACCUCAUGCUCGUGGAGCGGCCGAUAUCUGAUUAGCUAGUUGGUAGGGUAAAAGCCUACCAAGGCAUCGAUCAGUAGCUGGUCUGAGAGGACGACCAGCCACACUGGAACUGAGACACGGUCCAGACUCCUACGGGAGGCAGCAGUGGGGAAUUUUGGACAAUGGGCGAAAGCCUGAUCCAGCAAUGCCGCGUGAGUGAAGAAGGCCUUCGGGUUGUAAAGCUCUUUUGUCAGGGAAGAAACGGUGAAAGCUAAUAUCUUUUGCUAAUGACGGUACCUGAAGAAUAAGCACCGGCUAACUACGUGCCAGCAGCCGCGGUAAUACGUAGGGUGCAAGCGUUAAUCGGAAUUACUGGGCGUAAAGCGUGCGCAGGCGGUUUUGUAAGUCUGAUGUGAAAUCCCCGGGCUCAACCUGGGAAUUGCAUUGGAGACUGCAAGGCUAGAAUCUGGCAGAGGGGGGUAGAAUUCCACGUGUAGCAGUGAAAUGCGUAGAUAUGUGGAGGAACACCGAUGGCGAAGGCAGCCCCCUGGGUCAAGAUUGACGCUCAUGCACGAAAGCGUGGGGAGCAAACAGGAUUAGAUACCCUGGUAGUCCACGCCCUAAACGAUGUCUACUAGUUGUCGGGUCUUAAUUGACUUGGUAACGCAGCUAACGCGUGAAGUAGACCGCCUGGGGAGUACGGUCGCAAGAUUAAAACUCAAAGGAAUUGACGGGGACCCGCACAAGCGGUGGAUGAUGUGGAUUAAUUCGAUGCAACGCGAAAAACCUUACCUACCCUUGACAUGGCUGGAAUCCCGAAGAGAUUUGGGAGUGCUCGAAAGAGAACCAGUACACAGGUGCUGCAUGGCUGUCGUCAGCUCGUGUCGUGAGAUGUUGGGUUAAGUCCCGCAACGAGCGCAACCCUUGUCAUUAGUUGCUACGAAAGGGCACUCUAAUGAGACUGCCGGUGACAAACCGGAGGAAGGUGGGGAUGACGUCAAGUCCUCAUGGCCCUUAUGGGUAGGGCUUCACACGUCAUACAAUGGUACAUACAGAGCGCCGCCAACCCGCGAGGGGGAGCUAAUCGCAGAAAGUGUAUCGUAGUCCGGAUUGUAGUCUGCAACUCGACUGCAUGAAGUUGGAAUCGCUAGUAAUCGCGGAUCAGCAUGUCGCGGUGAAUACGUUCCCGGGUCU